rnacentral:sRNA from 1 species
CUGCCAUCAGCAAAUCAAGGCUCGCCAUUUAAAUCUGCGCUGUCCACUGUAUCUUUUUACAACCAAAAUAAGUGGUACCUCAAUCCACUGGAGAGAAAGCUGAUAAAAGAGAGUAGAUCUACUUGUCUAAAAACUAAUGAUGAAGAUAAAUCUUUUCCCAUUGUGACAGAAAAAAUGCAAGGAAAACCAGUCUGCUCCAAGAAGAACAACAAAAAACCACAGAAGAGUUUAACUGCUAAGUAUCAACCAAAGUAUAGACACAUCAAGCCUGUGUCAAGGAAUUCUAGAAAUUCCAAGCAAAAUCGAGUGAUCUAUAAGCCAAUUGUGGAGAAAGAAAAUAAUUGUCAUUCAGCUGAAAAUAAUCCCAAUGCUCCUCGGGUUCUGAGCCAAAAAAUAAAACCACAAGUUACACUCCAGGGUGGAGCAGCAUUUUUUGUUAGAAAAAAAUCUUCUCUUAGAAAAUGGUCCCUGGAAAAUGAGCCAUCACUGGGACGCACCCAAAAGAGUAAAUCAGAAGUCAUUGAAGAUUCUGAUGUAGAGACUGUCAGUGAAAAAAAAACUUUUGCGACAAGGCAAGUGCCAAAGUGCUUGGUCCUAGAAGAGAAAUUGAAAAUUGGACUACUGCGUGCAAGCAGUAAAAAUAAAGAGAAAUUAAUAAAGGAUUCAUCAGAUAACAGAGUUUCUUCAAAGG